GGGUUGUGAGGUUAAGCGACUAAGCGUACACGGUGGAUGCCCUGGCAGUCAGAGGCGAUGAAGGACGUGCUAAUCUGCGAAAAGCGUCGGUAAGGUGAUAUGAACCGUUAUAACCGGCGAUGUCCGAAUGGGGAAACCCAGUGCAAUUCGUUGCACUAUCGUUAACUGAAUACAUAGGUUAACGAGGCGAACCGGGGGGAACUGAAACAUCUAAGUACCCCGAGGAAAAGAAAUCAACCGAGAUUCCCCCAGUAGCGGCGAGCGAACGGGGAGCAGCCCAGAGUCUGAAUCAGCUUGUGUGUUAGUGGAACGGUCUGGAAAGUCCGACGGUACAGGGUGAUAGUCCCGUACACCAAAAUGCACAGGCUGUGAACUCGAAGAGUAGGGCGGGACACGUGGUAUCCUGUCUGAAUAUGGGGGGACCAUCCUCCAAGGCUAAAUACUCCUGACUGACCGAUAGUGAACCAGUACCGUGAGGGAAAGGCGAAAAGAACCCCGGCGAGGGGAGUGAAAAAGAACCUGAAACCGUGUACGUACAAGCAGUGGGAGCACCUUCGGGUGUGACUGCGUACCUUUUGUAUAAUGGGUCAGCGACUUAUAUUCUGUAGCAAGGUUAACCGUAUAGGGGAGCCGCAGGGAAACCGAGUCUUAACUGGGCGUUAAGUUGCAGGGUAUAGACCCGAAACCCGGUGAUCUAGCCAUGGGCAGGUUGAAGGUUGGGUAACACUAACUGGAGGACCGAACCGACUAAUGUUGAAAAAUUAGCGGAUGACUUGUGGCUGGGGGUGAAAGGCCAAUCAAACCGGGAGAUAGCUGGUUCUCCCCGAAAGCUAUUUAGGUAGCGCCUCGUGAACUCAUCUUCGGGGGUAGAGCACUGUUUCGGCUAGGGGGUCAUCCCGACUUACCAACCCGAUGCAAACUACGAAUACCGAAGAAUGUUAUCACGGGAGACACACGGCGGGUGCUAACGUCCGUCGUGAAGAGGGAAACAACCCAGACCGCCAGCUAAGGUCCCAAAGUCAUGGUUAAGUGGGAAACGAUGUGGGAAGGCACAGACAGCCAGGAUGUUGGCUUAGAAGCAGCCAUCAUUUAAAGAAAGCGUAAUAGCUCACUGGUCGAGUCGGCCUGCGCGGAAGAUGUAACGGGGCUAAACCAUGCACCGAAGCUGCGGCAGCGACACUAUGUGUUGUUGGGUAGGGGAGCGUUCUGUAAGCCUGCGAAGGUGUGCUGUGAGGCAUGCUGGAGGUAUCAGAAGUGCGAAUGCUGACAUAAGUAACGAUAAAGCGGGUGAAAAGCCCGCUCGCCGGAAGACCAAGGGUUCCUGUCCAACGUUAAUCGGGGCAGGGUGAGUCGACCCCUAAGGCGAGGCCGAAAGGCGUAGUCGAUGGGAAACAGGUUAAUAUUCCUGUACUUGGUGUUACUGCGAAGGGGGGACGGAGAAGGCUAUGUUAGCCGGGCGACGGUUGUCCCGGUUUAAGCAUGUAGGCUGGUUAUCCAGGCAAAUCCGGAUAAUCAAGGCUGAGGUGUGAUGACGAGGCACUACGGUGCUGAAGUAACAAAUGCCCUGCUUCCAGGAAAAGCCUCUAAGCAUCAGGUAACAUCAAAUCGUACCCCAAACCGACACAGGUGGUCAGGUAGAGAAUACCAAGGCGCUUGAGAGAACUCGGGUGAAGGAACUAGGCAAAAUGGUGCCGUAACUUCGGGAGAAGGCACGCUGGUGUGUAGGUGAAGUCCCUGCGGAUGGAGCUGAGACCAGUCGAAGAUACCAGCUGGCUGCAACUGUUUAUUAAAAACACAGCACUGUGCAAACACGAAAGUGGACGUAUACGGUGUGACGCCUGCCCGGUGCCGGAAGGUUAAUUGAUGGGGUUAUCCGUAAGGAGAAGCUCUUGAUCGAAGCCCCGGUAAACGGCGGCCGUAACUAUAACGGUCCUAAGGUAGCGAAAUUCCUUGUCGGGUAAGUUCCGACCUGCACGAAUGGCGUAAUGAUGGCCAGGCUGUCUCCACCCGAGACUCAGUGAAAUUGAACUCGCUGUGAAGAUGCAGUGUACCCGCGGCAAGACGGAAAGACCCCGUGAACCUUUACUAUAGCUUGACACUGAACAUUGAGCCUUGAUGUGUAGGAUAGGUGGGAGGCUUUGAAGCGUGGACGCCAGUCUGCGUGGAGCCAACCUUGAAAUACCACCCUUUAAUGUUUGAUGUUCUAACGUUGGCCCUUACCGGGGUUGCGGACAGUGUCUGGUGGGUAGUUUGACUGGGGCGGUCUCCUCCCAAAGCGUAACGGAGGAGCACGAAGGUUAGCUAAUCCUGGUCGGACAUCAGGAGGUUAGUGCAAUGGCAUAAGCUAGCUUGACUGCGAGCGUGACGGCGCGAGCAGGUGCGAAAGCAGGUCAUAGUGAUCCGGUGGUUCUGAAUGGAAGGGCCAUCGCUCAACGGAUAAAAGGUACUCCGGGGAUAACAGGCUGAUACCGCCCAAGAGUUCAUAUCGACGGCGGUGUUUGGCACCUCGAUGUCGGCUCAUCACAUCCUGGGGCUGAAGUAGGUCCCAAGGGUAUGGCUGUUCGCCAUUUAAAGUGGUACGCGAGCUGGGUUUAGAACGUCGUGAGACAGUUCGGUCCCUAUCUGCCGUGGGCGCUGGAGAAUUGAGGGGGGCUGCUCCUAGUACGAGAGGACCGGAGUGGACGCAUCACUGGUGUUCGGGUUGUCAUGCCAAUGGCACUGCCCGGUAGCUAAAUGCGGAAGAGAUAAGUGCUGAAAGCAUCUAAGCACGAAACUUGCCCCGAGAUGAGUUCUCCCUGAGACUUUAAGUCUCCUGAAGGAACGUUAAAGACGAUGACGUUGAUAGGCCGGGUGUGUAAGCGCAGCGAUGCGUUGAGCUAACCGGUACUAAUGAACCGUGAGGCUUAACCUUACAACGCCGAAG
rnacentral:rRNA from 1 species